AUUGAACGCUGGCGGCAGGCUUAACACAUGCAAGUCGAGCGGAGAUGAGGUGCUUGCACCUUAUCUUAGCGGCGGACGGGUGAGUAAUGCUUAGGAAUCUGCCAUUUAGUGGGGGACAACAUUCCGAAAGGAAUGCUAAUACCGCAUACGUCCUACGGGAGAAAGCAGGGGAUCUUCGGACCUUGCGCUAAAUGAUGAGCCUAAGUCGGAUUAGCUAGUUGGUGGGGUAAAGGCCUACCAAGGCGACGAUCUGUAGCGGGUCUGAGAGGAUGAUCCGCCACACUGGGACUGAGACACGGCCCAGACUCCUACGGGAGGCAGCAGUGGGGAAUAUUGGACAAUGGGCGGAAGCCUGAUCCAGCCAUGCCGCGUGUGUGAAGAAGGCCUUUUGGUUGUAAAGCACUUUAAGCGAGGAGGAGGCUACCUGGAUUAAUACUCUGGGAUAGUGGACGUUACUCGCAGA
rnacentral:rRNA from 1 species